UACGUAGGUGGCAAGCGUUGUCCGGAUUUACUGGGCGUAAAGGGCGUGCAGGCGGUCUGUUAAGUGCAGGGUGAAAGCUCCCGGCUCAACUGGGAGAGGUCCUUGCAUACUGGCGGACUUGAGGGGGGUAGAGGAAAGUGGAAUUCCCGGUGUAGUGGUGAUAUGCGUAGAGAUGCGGAGGAACACCGAUGGCGAAGGCAGCCCCCUGGGUUAACACUGACACUCAUGCACGAAAGCGUGGGGAGCAAACAGG
rnacentral:rRNA from 1 species